rnacentral:rRNA from 1 species
UGCGCCUACGGGAGGCAGCAGUGGGGAAUAUUGCGCAAUGGGCGGAAGCCUGACGCAGCGACGCCGCGUGCGGGACGAAGGCCUUCGGGUCGUAAACCGCUUUCAGCAGGGACGAGGCCCUCACGGUGACGGUACCUGCAGAAGAAGCCCCGGCUAACUACGUGCCAGCAGCCGCGGUAAUACGUAGGGGGCGAGCGUUAUCCGGAUUCAUUGGGCGUAAAGCGCGCGUAGGCGGCCUGUUAGGUCGGGGGUCAAAUACCGGGGCUCAAUUCGGGUCCGCCCCCGAUACUGGCAGGGUUGAGUGU